GACAGAGGGUGCGAACGUUGUUCGGAAUUACUGGGCGUAAAGCGCGUGUAGGCGGCAGCGCAAGUCGGGCGUGAAAUCCCACGGCUCAACCGUGGAAGUGCACUCGAAACUGCGCAGCUAGAGUCCUGGAGAGGAAGGUGGAAUGCUUGGUGUAGAGGUGAAAUUCGUAGAUAUCAAGCGGAACACCGGUGGCGAAGGCGGCCUUCUGGACAGUGACGUGACGCUGAGACGGCGAAAGCGUGGGGAGCAAACAGG
rnacentral:rRNA from 1 species